AACCGGUUGGUCCAACCAAUCCAUGACAUGGACAUUAACAAAAAAUGUCACGACCUAGCUAGCUUGCAAAGCGAAGUGUGAAUCUAAAGCCUUUUGUGGUUGUGGUGGAGGUUCCUGGCUUAUAAGCCAAGAGAGGAGAUAGAGAGUUUCCCUCCUUUUACAUUUUCUUUUCAUUUUUUUUUUCCUAAUGUGGGAGUUUUAAGGUUUCAUAUAGGCCAUCCCAAAGUGUACAUUACUUGAAAAAGAGGGGCAUAUACUCUCCACUCUUCUUUUACGACCCCUCAUUGGUUGAAAUUCCUUAAGCCCUUUAUUAAAUUUUUGAGCUGCUUCUUACUUUUAAUAACUUUACAGCCAAGCCAAGCUCCAGAUUUGUCACAUGGAAUGGAAUUUUCUUUCCAACUUGAAAGCUAUUUGAC
rnacentral:lncRNA from 1 species